AAAAAGGAUUACAUUGGUGUUACAUUUUCAGCUAACUUUCAGUGGUGGAAGAGACCAUCCGGAGUUGCUGCAGUGUGUCUGGGGCUGCUGUGUGUCCUCCUAUUGGCUGGGAUCAUAGGCCUGUCUGUCUACUAUACCCGAGUCAUUGGUCAUUACUGCUCUGCAGAGAGAUUCCAGACGUCCAGUUUGAACAACCUGACUAAAGAGAGAGACCAG